rnacentral:misc_RNA from 1 species
GACAAAGACAGGCGAGAGCCGGGAGAAGUGUCUGUGGUGACUGCUAGCCCACGUGUGCGAGAGGAAGGCCACUCCUCUUCAGACACGGUUGUCGAGCGAGUCCCGGCCGAUCCGGAGAUCCAGUGGCACUCACGGCCGUGGGCGGCGACACUG